rnacentral:lncRNA from 1 species
UUACACUAACCUAUGUCUGUUAUUGCUUCUAGUUUAAGCGCAUUUCCACGUGUAGCCUUACAACACUAUGUUUUGUACCAGUAGACACAGCACUGGCUGGCUCCGAAUAGAAGUUGGAAACUUGUGAAAGGCACACACAGUUGAAGAAAGCAGCCUCUGGACUUAGAAAGACUAUUCCAAGCUACAGCAUUCCUUGUCGCGGGUUCAGAGAAUCUUCAUGUAUUCCCUGAACACUGAACAGAAAGCUGACCAAGAGUGAAAAGGCUAAGUGCGAUGAAAAAGAUAUAAAUAAAUAACACGAGAAUGAAGAAGAAAAAGAGGACUUUCAGUCGGAAUUACCAGAAUACUUCAUAAAUAAGGAGACCUAUGAUCAGUUUCACACCAGAUAAAUCAGAUGUGGAUGAAUGAGCACAAAAGUAUCUUGGAGAAGGGAGCAGAGUUGGGAGCGUGAGCAAAGUAAUGUUAAUCACAGAGCGGUGAUCGUGUCAGUCUUAUCACUGGGUGAAGACACUUAAACUAGAACCAGGCUUCCAGGAACACUUCACUACAUAGUCAUUGAAUGAGGAGCAUUAAAUACUAUGCAGAUCCGUUGCACUCUAGGAGGUGUGAAAGAAAAUGGCAGGUGACUGCACCAGAAACAUUAUCUGAAAGCGGAAGACUGAACACCUUCAGUGUCACAUGAAGGACGGUGAACUUUAUUCAACAGGCAAUAGAGACUUGGAAGCUUGUGAGAAGUCUUGUAAACAGAACUAUGCUUUAAAAAAUAAACUGAUUACCACAGAUAAGAUGAAUUAUAGUUUGAAGAAAAAGUUGAGCAUCUAGAGAAGAAUCCCAGUGAAAUGAAAUGAGUGUAAGCCAAAGUCAACAGGAUCUACGUGGAGAAGAGAAAAUGAAUACAAGAGAUGUAACAGAGGUGAACAAGAGGACACGGGACAGAAUGGAGCAGAGUGGAUCCGAA